CCUACGGGUGGCAGCAGUGAGGAAUAUUGGUCAAUGGGCGCGAGCCUGAACCAGCCAAGUAGCGUGAAGGCUGACUGCCCUACUGGUUGUAGACUUCUUUUAUAAAGGACUAAAGUGAGGCACGUGUGCCUUUUUGUAUGUACUUUAUGAAUAAGGAUCGGCUAACUCCGUGCCAGCAGCCGCGGUAAUACGGAGGCGCCGAGCGUUAUCCGGAUUUAUUGGGUUUAACGGCAGCGUAGAUGGGUUGGUAAGUCAUGUGUGAAAGUUUGUGGCUCAACCGUAAAAUUGCAAUUGAUACUGGCAGCCUUGAGUACAGUUGAGGUAGGCGGAAUUCGUGGUGUAGCGGUGAAAUGCUUAGAUAUCACGAAGAACUCCGAUUGCGAAGGCAGCUUACUAAACUGCCACUGACAUUGAUGCUCGAAAGUGUGGGUAUCAAACAGGAUUAGAUACCCUGGUAGUC
rnacentral:rRNA from 1 species